rnacentral:rRNA from 1 species
CGGGUGAGUAACACGUUGGUAAUCUGCCUCAAAGUGGGGGAUAACCAUUGGAAACGAUGGCUAAUACCGCAUAGUUUUGUUGCAACGGGAGUUGCUGCAAAUAAAGCUCCGGCGCUUUGAGAGGAGCCUGCGUCUGAUUAGUUAGUUGGUGGGGUAAUGGCCUACCAAGGCGAUGAUCAGUAGCUGGUCUGAGAGGACGAUCAGCCACACGGGAACUGAGACACGGUCCCG